UGCUUUUUCUGGACAAUUCUCUGACUUCCUAAAAUAACUAAAAUCAUAAAAGAGUGAGCUUAUUCAAAUGGACACUGCUGCAGAGGACCGCAGGGAGGCAAAGGCAGUGUAGGUGUGAAAGAGGUCGGUGAGAUAAAUUGUUAAGAGCUUUAAAUGUCAAUUGUAAUAUUUUGAAGUUGAUCCUAUGU